rnacentral:rRNA from 1 species
UACGAAGGGGGGCUAGCGUUGUUCGGAUUUACUGGGCGUAAAGCGUGCGCAGGCGGUCUUGUAAGCCAGAUGUGAAAGCCCCGGGCUCAACCUGGGAACUGCAUUUGGGACUGCAAGGCUGGAGUACGGCAGAGGGAGGUGGAAUUCCACGUGUAGCAGUGAAAUGCGUAGAGAUGUGGAGGAACACCGAUGGCGAAGGCAGCCUCCUGGGCUAGUACUGACGCUCAUGCACGAAAGCGUGGGGAGCAAACAGG